rnacentral:rRNA from 1 species
CCUACGGGAGACAGCAGUGGGGAAUAUUGCGCAAUGGGCGAAAGCCUGACGCAGCGACGCCGCGUGAGGGAUGAAGGUCUUCGGAUCGUAAACCUCUGUCAGCAGGGAAGAACGGUCACUGUGCUAAUCAGCAGUGAAUUGACGGUACCUGCAAAGGAAGCACCGGCUAACUCCGUGCCAGCAGCCGCGGUAAUACGGAGGGUGCGAGCGUUAAUCGGAAUUACUGGGCGUAAAGCGCUCGUAGGCGGUAUGUCAAGUCAAGUGUGAAAUCCCCGCGCUCAACGUGGGAACUGCCUUUGAAACUGGCAAGCUGGAGUGUGUGAGAGGAUAGUGGAAUUCCAGGUGGAGGAGUGAAAUCCGUAGAGAUCUGGAGGAACAUCAGUGGCGAAGGCGACUAUCUGGCACAUAACUGACGCUGAGGAGCGAAAGCGUGGGGAGCAAACAGGAUUAGAUACCCCAGUAGUC